rnacentral:lncRNA from 1 species
GGCCUCCGCGGGCACCCAGGCUGGGACUCGGGACACCACAGCUCCGCGUGCUCGCGAGCCCCGCUGCGCGCCACAGCCGCCGGUCACUCUCCUGCCUGGCCCCGGUGCUCGCCACGAGAGGCUUGCGACGCUCGUGGAGAAGACCGAGGGGCGGUCACUGGCCGUGUGUUGCCUUGAAAUGCCCAGCCUGCUGGCCACAGCCACUCCUCCUGUGCCCUCAGGGCCCCCUUGCCUCUUGCAGUUUGGCCCAUGAAAGUAGGAGGAAGAUGUGCUUGGGCGUUGGUCCAUUGUGCAGCUCUGUGCUCCGAGGAAUAAAGCAGCAGUGGUGUUACUGUGGCACUGGCUCUUCCCUGGGAGUCGCUCUCUGUGGGCUUUGGAAACAUUGGCUUUUAAGGCUUGCCCAGCAAGUUGAUGACUCAGUUGGAAAACCCAGGCCUGCGAGUGGUGCUUUCUGCUGUCCCUCUGCGUGGCCAUGCAGCAGGACUGUGACCACGGAUGUGGCAUCCGGUGAGGUGGCCACCAGCCACGUGUGACUUGGAGUACCUGACAAGUAACUGGUGCACCUGAGGAAGCGCAGUGUGUGUGUGCGGCGCCUGGUCACGCUGCUGCAUGCAUGUGAGACAGCCAGGAUGUAAUGUGAUCGGUACCAAUUUAUUGCAGUAGCCGCCUGUGGCCGGCAGCUGCCGGAUUGGACAGCACUGACUGGCAAGAGCUUUGCCCACACUAAGUUUGAAAUUAUGUAAUUUAACUAAUUAGACUCAGUUUAAUAAUCUCUUGUUCAUGUACAAAUUGGAGAGGUAGCUUUUAACUUUUUUCCUACCGUGCCUGAGUAUUUUAUGGCUAUCAAAAGGCAGCACCGUUUCCUUCUUUAUGCUGGGAUUACAGGCCUGCGCCACCGUGCCUGUAGAUUAAUUUGUAAAUCUGGCCCCAGAUUAACUUGUAAAAAACCUCUUCUUGGUCGUAGUUCAUGUGUUCAGCAACCACACUGGCUGAGGCCCCGGCCGGCAGCGUGGGCCAGGCAGCUCUGUCGUCACGAGAAGCUGUCUGGACCCAGCAGUCAGGGGGCAUGCUUGUCUAUAAACUCUCUCCCGCUUACGUCCUCCUCUGGCUGCAGCCUUGUUUCUCUGCUUUUCCUCCAAGCAGAAUUGCGUGCUUCUUCCAUGGCCUUUGCUUGGCCUCUGCACCGCUCAGCCCUGGGACUGACCUAGGGAGGGCCACCCAGGCUUCUGUCUACAAAUCCAGCACUGGGGCUGGGCCCAGACCUUCAGCCUUUUUAAAGAGUAUUUUUUAUUUUGAUACAGGGUCUUGCUGAGUGUCUCUGUUACCCAGGCUGGGCUUGAACUUGCAGUCCUCCUGCCUCAGCCUCCCCAGUGCUGGGAUUACAGGCUCACGCCACCGGGCCUGGCUGUAUAAAAUACUUGAUUCUUCAAACUUCUAAAGGGAAAAGCUACAUUAAAAAAUCGCACCAUACUUAGUAUAGCAUGACUCUGGAGUGGGUCCUCAUGUCUCCGUGUUGGGGGCUUGGAACCCCCUGGAGCUGUGUCAUGGAGGUUCAGGGCUCUGCCAGUGCCAGUGUCUCGGCUUGGUGCGUGCAUCGUGGUUGUACAGGUCCUUGUGUGUAGGGUCUCAGCCGUGCUCGGGAGGAGGGAGACGCGUACUGCACUGGAGCAUAAAGAGCUCUGUUGCUUCUCAGGAGACCAUGGGGUUAUUACCCUUUGCAGACCUGGUUCAAGUCUUUGCUCUCUCGGUAUCAUGGAUCUUGGAUGUGUGAUUUAGAUCUCUAAGACCCUAAGACUUAUGUCGAA